rnacentral:lncRNA from 1 species
AUAAUGUUAGGCUCAAGUACCAAACCAGUGGAUGAAAAAAAGUUCAAGGACCAAUCUGGGACAAAAAAAAACCCAUAAGUACCAAUCUGGGAGAAGUGAACAAGUUUAUGUACUAAUUUUAUGUUUAACCCUUAAUUUAACUAUUAAAUGUCAUGUAGAAGUUUACGUGAUAUAAUUUAAAAUGAAAAUUUUUAGAACAUCAACUUUUAUAAUAUUUAUUUUUCUUUAAAUUUUCUAUUUUAAAUUAUGUCACAUAAAAUUUGACAUCUUAUUUAAUGGUUAAAUUAAUGAUUUACUACGAAAUAACCUUAUUGAUAUAAGGUCCAUAGUUGGAGAAUACAAUUAAAAUGUUUUAAAAUUUAAUGGCUAAUUUAAAAUGAGUGUUAAUACCUUUUCAGAGCUCAUGUGAUAUAAUUUAAAAUGAAAUAAGAGCUGACUGUUAAUACCUUUUUGAAGGGAGAUGCUAAAAAGAUACUUCGUAUCCCGCCAUUGUCGAAUAUUUUGUUGUGCACUCUGGACCAUUUGGGGAGACAAAUGCUAGAAUCCAUGAAAGGAAAAUUAGCACUGGUCAAGAAAUAGCGAUUUUUGUCAAUAAUUACAUAACUGAGCUAAACGUGAUUGAAAAAAGAAAUCCCUCAAAACCGUAGGAGCUGAUAAAAUGGAGUGGCCCACCUGGUUCUAUUGUCAAGAUCAAUUUUGAUGGUGCGUAUGAUGGGUGUCACUACAAAUCGGCAUCGGGUAUUGUGGCCAGAAAUGCUGAAGGAAUCGCUCUUCUUUCCUACUCAGAGACGCGUAAAGAGGUACCCUCCGCUUUCGCUGCCAAAGCAGUUGCAUGCCGUAAAGCAGUUCAAAUAGGUAUUGAAAUGCAGUAGCUGGAGAUCAUUAUUGAAGGGGACUCAUUAGCCAUCAUCAAAAAGUGUCAAUCAAAAAGUCAAGAUAGAUCACAAGUAGGAGUGUACAUUCAUGAUAUUCAUCAGAUAACAGACAGAUUCAACAAUAUUAUGUUCAAAUAUACUCCGAGAUCAGCAAAUGGUUUAGCCCAUAUACUAACAACAGAAUCUCUGUAGAAGUGGGAGGAGUUUUACCUGUUAAAGAACGUCCCUGGGUAUGCCGAGAAGCAAAAAGAUUGUUGACUGGAUGCGAGAACCAAAUUGAAAUAGGCCAGGAGAGGGGAAAGGUGAAAGGAAAGUAUCACAUAGCAGUUGAAAAGUGUUUUUUUUUUGAAGAACAGGCUUUCCUGAGAAUUGAAACCGAGAUGGGCAAUACAAAGAAUUCUGAUUGGGCAACUCUUCGGUGCUUUUACGGUUCUAGAUUGUUCUGUUUAUUUGAUUUCUGCUAAACUUUUUCGGGCCUUUUAGUUUUGGGCCAAAUUUCGUUGGUUAUGCUUACUGUCAAUUUUUUGAACUUAAGUUAA